rnacentral:rRNA from 1 species
AGUAACCUGCCUUGCACAAGGGGAUAGCCGUUGGAAACGACGAAUAAUACCCUAUGAUAUGAUAGUCUCGCAUGAAGCUAUCAUCAAAGAUUUAUCGGUGUAAGAUGGACUCGCGUCUGAUUAGCUAGUUGGUGAGAUAACUGCUCACCAAGGCAACGAUCAGUAGCCGGCUUGAGAGAGUGUACGGCCACAUUGGGACUGAGACACGGCCCAG